rnacentral:rRNA from 1 species
AACGAACGCUGGCGGCAUGCCUAACACAUGCAAGUCGAACGAGACCUUCGGGUCUAGUGGCGCACGGGUGCGUAACGCGUGGGAACCUGCCCUUAGGUUCGGAAUAACUCCCCGAAAGGGGUGCUAAUACCGGAUAAUGUCUUCGGACCAAAGAUUUAUCGCCUUUGGAUGGGCCCGCGUUGGAUUAGCUAGUUGGUAGGGUAAAAGCCUACCAAGGCGACGAUCCAUAGCUGGUCUGAGAGGAUGAUCAGCCACACUGGGACUGAGACACGGCCCAGACCCCUACGGGGGGGAGGAGGGGGGAAUAUGGGAAAAUGGGGGAAAGCCUGAUCCAGCAAGGCCGGGUGAGUGAUGAAGGCCUUAGGGUUGUAAAGCUUUUUUACCCGGGAUGAUAAUGACAGUACCGGGAAAAUAAGCUCCGGCUAACUCCGU